AUGCUCUCGUAGGAGAGUUAGAACCUGCAGAUAGAGAAGGGUUAGAGAACUCCCCUUUCAAGGUUUUAAUCUAUCGUCGUUGCACCGAUGAUUAUCCAGUAACAAGAGAAGGCGAGAGUAUUUGCAGAAGAAGGCAAUCAUGGAAGCCACGAGAACAGAGAAAAUCGAUCACGAGGUUGGAGGAUUCCAAAAUGACAUACUUCGUUUUGAACUUUAAAGCGUUCAGAACGAUAUCAUUGGAUCUCAUCCUGUUGAAUCUACACAGCAAUUGGUGAAUAAGGUGCAGGAGGAGAUGAAGAGGAUAGUGCUUGUAAACACCUAUGGCUCAACUUUUCCCAUGAGAAUAGAACUUGAUACUCAGAUUAUGUCCAAAAGCAACUAGAGAAUCUUGGUGCUCAACGAGUAUGGAUUAAAGACAUGUUUAAAGAGAUAAAGAUGAAGG